rnacentral:rRNA from 1 species
AUGUCUUGCUGUACGGACGGCGCGGCCAUGGCGGCACUGCCGCUCAAGCUCCACUUCGUGCUGGUGCCGCUCCUCGCGCAGGGCCACGUCAUCCCCAUGAUGGACAUGGCGCGCCUCAUCGCCGGCCGCGGCCGCGGCGCGCGCGUCACCGUCGUCCUGACCCCCGUCCACGCCGCGCGCAACAGGGCCGUCCUGGAGCACGCCGGCCGCGCCGGGCUCGCCGUCGACUUCGCCGAGCUCGAGUUCCCGGGACCCGCGCUGGGCCUGCCCGAGGGGUGCGAGAGCCACGACAUGAUCAGGGACUACACGCAUUUCAGGCUCUUCUGCGACGCCAUGUCCCUGCUCGCCGAGCCGCUCGAGGCGUACCUCCGCGCGCUGCCGCGGCGGCCUGACUGCAUCGUCGCCGACUCGUGCAGCCCGUACCCGGCGGACGUCGCGCGGCGGCUCGGCGUCCCGCGGCUGGUGUUCCACGGCCCGUCGGCCUUCUUCCUCCUCGCGGUGCAUAACCUGGCCAAGAACGGCGUGUACGACCGCGUCGCCGACGACUUCGAGCCGUUCGAGGUGCCGGACUUCCCGGUACGCGCCGUGCUGAAUCGGGCAACGUCGCCCGGGUUCUUCCAGUCGCCGGGGCUAGAGAGGCACCGGCGCGACAUUCUCGACGCCGAGGCCACCGCCGACGGCCUGGUCCUCAACACGUGCGCGGCUUUCGAGGGCGCGUUCGUCCAGCGGUACGCCGAGGCGCUCGGCCUGAAGGUCUGGGCAAUCGGGCCACUCUGCCUCCUCGACUCCGACGCCGAAACCACGGCGGUGAGAGGUAAUCCCGCCGCCGUGGACGCCAGUCUCGUCGCGUCAUGGCUGGACGCGAGGCCGCCACAGUCCGUGCUCUACGUAAGCUUCGGCAGCGUCGCGCACUUGUUCCCGACGCAGGUCGCCGAGCUCGCUGCCGGACUGGAGGCAUCAAACCGGCCGUUCAUCUGGGUGGCCAAGGAGACCGACGGCCUCGACUCCGGUCUCGACGGGCGGGUGGAAGGGCGGGGCCUCGUCAUCCGUGGCUGGGCGCCGCAGAUGGCCAUUCUGUCCCACCCUUCCGUCGGCGGCUUCCUGACGCACUGCGGAUGGAACUCGACGCUGGAGUCUCUCUCCCACGGCGUGCCGCUUCUGACUUGGCCGCAGUUCGCCGACCAGUUCCUUACCGAGAUGCUGGUCGUGGACGUGCUCGGCGCCGGCGUCCGGACCGGCAUCAAAGUACCUAUCACGCACGUGGUCAGCAACCCCGAGAUGUCGAAAGUGCAGAUCGGGAGGGAGGCCCUGGAGAGAGCGGUGGUUGCCUUGAUGGACGAGGGGGCGGCGAUGCGGGUGAAGGCGAAGGAGCUCGCCGUGAAGGCGACGGAGGCAAUGGCGGAGGGUGGGUCCUCGGACAGCGACCUGGCGAGCUUGGUUCGCCAUGUCGCGGAGCUCGUACAGCAAGGUAAAGACGCCGUGGAGGUCCAUGACGCGCCUGACCUCAGGGAGCAGGAAGAAGAAACUAGUUGA